rnacentral:tRNA from 1 species
GGAGAAAUGGCUCCGCAGUUUAGAGCAGUGUCUGUUUUUCCAGAGGUUCAGGGUUCAAUUCCCAGUUUCUCCA